UACGAAGGGGGCUAGCGUUGUUCGGAAUACUGGGCGUAAAGCGUGCGCAGGCGGUUUUGUAAGCCAGAUGUGAAAGCCCCGGGCUUAACCUGGGAAUGGCAUUUGGGACUGCAAGGCUUGAGUGCGGCAGAGGAGACUGGAAUUCCUGGUGUAGCAGUGAAAUGCGUAGAUAUCAGGAGGAAUACCGAUGGCGAAGGCAGGUCUCUGGGCUGACACUGACGCUCAUGCACGAAAGCGUGGGGAGCAAACAGG
rnacentral:rRNA from 1 species